AACGAAUAACUAUGGUGUCUUGGUUGUCGCUGGCUCCUCGGAGCAUUGUGCACGCCCGCCAUUUUUAUCUAUCCACCUGUGCACCGAAUGUAGGUCUGGAUGACUCUCGCCUCCGGGCGGAUGCGAGGUUUGCGUGCGAGCGCUCUCCUCGAAUUUCCAGGCUCUACGUCUCUUUACACACCCCAAACGUAUGAUGCAGAAUGUAGUCAAUGGGCCUUUACAAGCCUAUAAAACACUAUACAACUUUCAGCAACGGAUCUCUUGGCUCUCGCAUCGAUGAAGAACGCAGCGAAAUGCGAUAAGUAAUGUGAAUUGCAGAAUUCAGUGAAUCAUCGAAUCUUUGAACGCACCUUGCGCUCCUUGGUAUUCCGAGGAGCAUGCCUGUUUGAGUGUCAUUAAAUUCUCAACCUCACCGGUUUUCUGAACCGUUCUCCGAGGCUUGGAUGUGGGGGUCUGUGCAGGUCGCCUCAGCGCGGUCUGCUCCCCUGAAAUGCAUUAGCGAGAUUCAUUCUGGACCUCCGUCUAUCGGUGUGAUAAUUAUCUACGUCGUUGACUUGGUUCGGACUCGCUUCUAACCGUCCGCGAGGACAACAUACUUGACAAUUUGACCUCAAAUCAGGUAGGACUACCCGCUGAACUUAAGCAUAUCAAUAAGCGGAGGAAAAGAAACUAACAAGGAUUCCCCUAGUAACUGCGAGUGAAGCGGGAAAAGCUCAAAUUUAAAAUCUGGCGGUCCUUGGCCGUCCGAGUUGUAAUCUAGAGAAGUGUUACCCGCGUCGGACCGUGUACAAGUCUCCUGGAAUGGAGCGUCAUAGAGGGUGAGAAUCCCGUCUUUGACACGGACUACCGAGGCUUCUGUGGUGCGCUCUCAAAGAGUCGAGUUGUUUGGGAAUGCAGCUCAAAA
rnacentral:rRNA from 1 species